UGAUCCUUAGGACAGCUGGCAGCUUGAGAGCCCUUUGUCUCUUCUCUCUCUUUUGCCGUAGUGUUCUUGUUCCUGUAAAAGCUUCAGACUUUUGAGUUCUCCUGCUUCUGAUCGAGUUCUUUUGAGUCCUUGUCUCUGGCUUUCUUCUUCUUCCUCCUCCCCGGGCAAGUCCUCUGAUUCUUCAACAGGAAAACAAGAUGGACUCCUCUGGUACAAAGACUCUGGCCACCACCUACUCGGUGAGUUCUCAAUGGCGGCUGUUCAGGCCAACAACCUUCUCGAGGAUCAUAGCCAAGUUGAGUCUGACCCUUUGAGUACACUUGAUUCAGCAACGACAGCUGCUAAGUAUCAAUCUGGAAAGUCUGACCCUUUGAGGAGCUGCUUUGGAUUUGGUUGGAGUGCCUUUGCCUGAGGACACCAUCUCCGCUGCUAAAGACUCAGAUGUUGUGCUUCUUGGAGCCAUCAGAGGGUAUAAAUGGGAUAAGAAUGAAAAACAUCUGAAGCCUGAGACUGGGUUACUUCAACUUCGUGCCGCUCUUAAAGUCUUUGCUAAUCUCAGACCUGCUAAUGUUCUUCCACAGGCCUCGAUUUUAUGGAGGAGACGAGUAACAGCAUUAGCCUCUGAAUAUCCUGAUUUUGAGCUGUCACAUAUGUAUGUUGACAAUGCUGCAAUGCAGCUUGUUCGUGACCCUAAACAGUUUGACACCAUUGUCACAAAGAACAAUAUGAUCACGUCUGAACAAAGACAUGUGCUGUUUAUUACAGGGACCUGGACUCUUUGAACCAAUACAUGGUUCUGCACCUACGUUAGAGAGAGGUCAGAGACUUGGAAGAUAACUCUUUUUUUAUUAGCUAGGUAAGAUUUUUUUGAACAUUUAGUUAGAUUACAAUAUUUUGCUCUCGGUAAAACCGUAUAAGUAAAGGUCAUCAUCUUCGCUUCCAAACAGAACAGCAGCUAAGUUUGUAACAUGAAUCUCAUUUAUUUGUGAAUAUAAGGACUCCUCAAUGGAGUCCACCAUUGGACUCA